rnacentral:rRNA from 1 species
AUUGAACGCUGGCGGCAGGCCUAACACAUGCAAGUCGAACGAGUGGCGGACGGGUGAGUAAGGUCUGGGCAACUGCAUGAUGGAGGGGUAUAAAUACUGGAAACGGUAGCUAAUACCCCAUACCAUCAGAUGUGCCCAGAUGGGAGUAGCUGUCUGGUGGGCGAACGGCUCAACAAGGAGACGAUCCCUAGCUGGUCUGAGAGGAUGACCAGCCACACUGGGACUGAGGCACGGUCCAGACUCCGACGGGAGGCAGCAGUGGGGAAUAUUGCACAAUGGGCGCAAGCCGGAUGCAGCCAUGCCGCGUGUAUGAAGAAGGCCUGCGGAUUGUAAAGUACGUUCAGCGGGGAGGCGUUACCCGCAGAAGAAGCACCGGCUAACUCCGUGCCAGCAGCCGCGGUAAUAC